rnacentral:rRNA from 1 species
AGUGAACGCUGGCGGCGUGCUUAACACAUGCAAGCCGAACGGAUGAAAUAAGCUUGCUUAUUUCGUUAGUGGCGCACGGGUGAGUAAUGUAUAGCUAACCUGCCCUUAGUGGGGGACAACAGUUGGAAACGACUGCUAAUACCCCAUACUCCUUCUUAUCAUAAGGUAAGUUGGGAAAGAUUUAUUGCUAAAGGAUGGGGCUUUAUGGUAUCAGCUAGUUGGUGGGGUAACGGCCUACCAAGGCGAUGACGCCUACCUGGUCUGAGAGGAUGAUCAGGCACACUGGAACUGGGACACGGUCCAGACUCCUACGGGAGGCAGCAGUGGGGAAUAUUGCACAAUGGAGGAAACUCUGAUGCAGCAACGCCGCGUGGAGGAUGACGCAUUUCGGUGUGUAAACUCCUUUUAUAAGGGAAGAUAAUGACGGUACCUUAUGAAUAAGCACCGGCUAACUCCGUGCCAGCAGCCGCCGUAAUAC